UGCGGUGUUCUGCCAUUAUCUUCUUGGAAAAACUGGUGUUGGCUUAAACAUAUGAUGGAUGAGUAGACAGACAACAGUUAAAAAGGAGAACUAUAUGGGUGACCAAGAGCAUGAGAAUGAAACAACAAUUUCAGAAAAAAACGAACACCAAAAACACAAGAAAUCCAACCAGGAAUAGAAAACAGUGACUUCAUGUUCUCUCUUGCAUCAAGCCUACAUGAUAUGGGUUUUACAUCAGGUCUCCCAGAGCUUCAUGCAGCAUUGACUCCUCAUAACAGAAACCUCCUGUUCAUACUUCAGAUGAGACAGUGUUGUACAGAGCCAAGGCCAUUCACAGUGAAGGGCCCAAGAAGCUGGGAAGGAACAGAAUUAGGACAGCUGACUUAAACUGGACAAAGUGAUAUUCCAUGCCAUAUGACAUCAAGUGAAAGGAGUUUUGAAGGGGGUAAUGAAGUUGGGAAAGAUUAGCAACUGACUAGAAAAAUAUAACAUUUCCAAAAUCAAUACUCUUGUUGACAGCUGACAUGGGAUUCACCCUUAAUUCUGAAACAGUUUUACUCAUAGUUCUCAUCCUGAUGAGGAAUUACAACCAACAUGAUGUAUCAUGGAAAAACAACUUAAGGGGCUGCAAGCAAUCCAGGACACUCCUGCAUUCUGUUGAGUAUAACUUUCUGGUCCAAGUAUUGGACAAACCAACCAGAGGAGAUGCAUUACUGAACCUACUGCUAACCAAUGGCAAUCAGUUCAGUAAAGAGAUUGAGAUUGGAGGCAGUCUGGGCUGUAGUGACCAUGCCCUGGUUGAGUUUGUGAUCCCAAGGAAUGUGGGCCUGUCAAGGAGCAGAGUCAGGACUCUGAACUUCAGAAGAGCAAACUUCCAGCCAUUUAAGGAAUUACUGGUUAUGAAAACUGUCUUUAGGGACAAAGGAACAGAACAGAUCUGUUGGUUCUUCAAGAAUACCUUUCUAGGAGCACAAGAGCUCUCCAUCCUCCAGCAUAAGAAAUCUGGAAAGGGAGGCAGGAGACUGGCAUGGCUGAAAAAGUACAUCCAGGUCAAACUGAGGAAUAAAAAUGAAAUGUGCAGGCAGUGGAAGCAGGAAUGUGUGACCUGGGAAGAAUACAGGGAUGCCAUCCAGAUGUGCAGAGGUGGGAUCAGGAAAGCCAAGGCACAGAUGUAACUAGACUUGGGACAUCAAAAACAAUGAGGGAUUCUACAGGUAAAUUGGUCAGAAGAGAAAAGGCAAGGAGAGUGUAACUCCUCUGAUAAAUGAGAAGAGAGAAAUGGCAAAAACAGACAUGAGGAAAGCUGAGGCAUUGCCUCAGUUUACAAUGGCAUUCUGGCUUCUUGUGUCUCUCAAGUCCCUGAACAUCUAGGCAGGGGUAAGUGGAGCUAAAUCCCCCCCAUUGUGAGCAAUGAACAAGUUUGAUUCCACUUGAUGAUAACAUGUAUCCUAGGGUCCUGAAGGAUCUGGAAAAAAAGGUGACUAGAAAAAAGAGAAACGUUACUCACAUUUUUAAGAAAGGGAGAAAGGAAGAUCUGGAAAACUACAGAAUGGUGACCCUCACCUCUGUGUCUGAGAAGAUCAGGAAAUAGAUCUUUGUGGAGAACAUGUUAAGGCACAUAUGAGACGAGGAGGUGAUCCAAUACAUCCAGCAUAGCUUCAGCAAGAGCAGAUCAUUCCUGACCAAUUUGAUGGGCAACAGAUGUUGUCUACCUGGACUUCUGAAAGGCCUUUUACAUGGUCCCACACCACCACAUCCUUGUCUCUAAAUUGGAGAUAGACAGACUUGAAGGGUGGACUAUUCAGUGGAGAAAUAAUUGGUUUGAUGGUCCAAGUGGAGGCUCUUGAUGAGUGGUGUCCCACAGUGUUCUGUCUUGGGAUAGGUGCUUUCUGAACAUCUUCAUCAGUGACCUAGACUAUGGGGCCGAGUGCACCCUCAGCAAGUUAGCAGAUGACACCAAGCUGAGUGGUGCAGUUGAUACCAUAGAAGGAAAACAUGCCAUCCAGAGGAACUUGAACAGGUUUGAAAAGUGGUCUCAUGGGAACCUAAUGAGGUUUAACCAAGCCAAGUGCAAAGUGUUACAGUUGGGUCUGGUCAAUCUCAGAUAUGUUUACAGUCUGAGAGUAGAACUCAUUGAGACCAGCCUUGUGGAGAAGGGACUGGGGGUUCUGGGGAUAAAAAGCUUGACAUGGUCCAGCAGUGUGCACUUGCAGCCUGAAAUUGUAUCCUGGGCUGAAUCAGCAGAGAAGUGGCCAGCAGAGUGAAGGGGGUGACUGUCUAUUUCUUCUCUGCUAUUAUGAG
ensembl:lncRNA